rnacentral:lncRNA from 1 species
UACAUCUUCCGCACCAGUAGUGUGUCGAGUGGUAAUCCCGUGAUCCUUAUACGGCAGUUCUUCCUAGUUUUACGCGGUAGAAAUUUUGAUUUGCGCUAGUGUAGCCUACCUCGUAUCCCAACAGUGGUAUCAAGAGCCGUAGCUGCUUAGUUUUGGAUUCGGGAUGUGUGCAUGUGGAGAUAUGCGAGUUUUCUGUUUGAUCUAUGUCCUGUUUUCGUGCCCUUGCUGCAAUGGUAGUGUAACGACAUACUCCUACCGGUCGGUUUCCGCCAUCGGAGUUAAGUGAUACACGUAAAUCCAGUUGCAGUGAGCGAAGAUCAAUAUGAUUGGUCGAAUCGAAAUCCAGGGUCAUACACCAGGCGCAUUAGAUGUGCAAUAGUAGAUGGGAUCUACUGCCGGGGUCGGGAUUUUUGCCGUAUGCGUAUGCUUCGGUAAAUCAGCCGUAACUUUUCGGUACGAUCUCGAAUCGGGGCGAAUUUUAUAUGAAAAUCGAUCUACAGAAAAAGUUACACAUGAAAUUCAAUCGCUUGGCCGUUUUCGGCGAAAUUAGAUUUCCCAAAUUUGGCUUGGAAGAAGGAGUUUCGGGCCUCCAAAGUUUGGAACGUUAGGACGCUAAACUCUGUUUUGCAGGAUGUAUGUAUGUAUCUUGUGAUCAGUAUGGCCCCCUUGUGUAUGUGAUGCAUGUGUGUAACUCAUUCGUGACCUGCGUGUCGCGCGUACGGCAACACGGCAGGAGCCAUAUGUGUUGUCACUUUAUUGUACUUAAUGGUCUGCGUACCAAUCUGUGAUGAUCCAAGCAACUAUGUAAUCUUCAUUACUAGCUUCUUUACUAGCUAUUAGGCGUAAUAGCAUGUUCUAGUUCUUGGAGAACUCAUCACCAGGAGGAUGGCGCACAUGGAACAUGGAGAUGGAGAUCACCAUGGUGAACAGGUUCUGUGGAGAUGGAGAUCACCAUAUGAAAACGGGCCAUAUUGUGUCACAACUGUGUGAAUGCUAUUCUGUUUAUGUUUUACUUUCUGCAUGCUGUGAUGUUAGAAGUAGAACGAUCCCUCACAAAGUUUAAGUUAGUAUGCCCUCCCAACUAAAACUUGCACCGUCCCAUGUCUUGUAUAAUUAGUGGUGGGUCUAUGAAAUUAGGGUACCACUAGUUUUCCUUGACUAGACGGGUUUGUGUCGGACACUUACACGCCUAAGGGUUGGUUUGCUUAACAAGGUCAUCUUAACGGUUAAGGACCUUGGGGCAUAAAGGUUGGGCGCCGAGACAUAGAGAUGUCACCCAACAACAGGAGUCAUAUGUGAUAUGAUUAGCAAAAGUUGCUUACCGAUCUACCUUGUUUGCUAGCGGUGAUGCUAAAGCUCACUAGUGGACUUGUUAGUUGUGCAUCCUGAAUCACUAAGUUUCAAUAGAGGGAUAUUGAUUUUAGUGGGAGUAGAUUCUGUUAAAAUAGUUUAAUGUGAUUUGCUCUAUCAUGGAUACGUUUGUCUUAGUGUAUUUUGCAUUACUUUGUUGUAGAUUAAAUGGCACCUAGCAGCACUACACCGUUUGCUUUGCGUUCGAUCCUUGAGAAGGACAAGUUGAAUGGAACAAAUUACUCGGAUUGGAUUCGUAACCUGAGAAUUGUUCUCAGGGCUGAGAAAAAGGAAGAUGUUCUAGACAACCCACUACUAGAAGAACCUGCUGAUGAUGCACCCGCUGCUGCUAAGAAUGCUUACAAGAAAACAUGUGAUGCUAACCUCGAAGUAAGCUGCCUUAUGCUUGCUUGCAUGGAACCCGAGCUGCAGAUGCAGUUCGAAACAAACCAUGAGGUGCACGAUAUGAUCGUGGCGCUUAGAGACAUGUUCCAAACACAGGCCAGGACUGAAAGGUUCAAUGUGUCUAAGGCCUUUGUUGAGAGCAAGCUAGCAGAAGGCGCAGCAGUAGGACCACACGUAAUCAAGAUGGUUGGUUACACUCAACGGUUGGAGAAGCUGGGCUUCCCACUGGGCCAAGAGUUGGCCACUGAUUUUAUUCUUUCGUCUCUUCCGCCUAGCUAUGGGAACUUCAUCUCAAACUACCAUAUGCAUGGGACGGAGAAGGGUCUGAAUGAGCUGUGUGGCAUGCUUAAAACAGCAGAGGCUGACAUCAAGAAAAGCGCUAGUACCAGCCAUGUGAUGGCUAUACAGAACAAGCCUAGCUUUAAGAAGAAGGGCAAUUCUUGGAAGAAGAAGGGCAAGACUGGAACAUCCAAGCCAAACCCAACGCCCAAGGUUAAAGCUGGACCUGGACCUGCUCCAGACAAAGAGUGCUUUUACUGUCAUGAACUUGGUCACUGGAAGAGAAACUGCAAGCAGUACCUAGCUUCCUUGAAGAAUGGUGGAAGUAAGAGUACUUCUACCUCAGGUACGCUUGUUGUUAAUGUUAUAGACAACAUUUUUAUCGCUGAUACAAUUAUUAAUUCUUGGGUAUUUGAUACCGGAUCGGUUGCUCAUAUUUGCAAUUCGAUGCAGGGAAUGAUAAGAAGUAGAAGCGUGGAAAGAGGAGAAGUUGAUUUCCGCGUGGGCAAUAAUGCAAGAGUUGCUGCGUUGACCGUCGGGACGAUGCAACUCCACCUCCCGUCAGGAUUUAUUAUGGAGUUGAAUAAUUGUUAUUUCGUUCCUAGUUUAAGUCGAAACAUUUUGUCUCCUUCAUGCUUGAUGAAGGAUGGUUAUUCAUUUGCGAGUGAAAACAACGGUUGUCUGAUGUCUAAGAAUGAUAUGUUUAUGGCUUUUGCACCCAUUGUGAAUGGAUUAUUUGUUUUAAAUCUUGAUGGUUCACCUGUCUGUAAUGUAAGUGCUAAAAGGCCUCGGCCUAAUGAUUUGAGUCCUACCUACUUGUGGCAUUGUCGUUUGGGUCAUAUAAGUGAAAAGCGCAUGAAGAAGCUCCAUUCUAAUGGACUUCUAACUUCGUUUGAUUUUGAAUCAUACGAGACAUGUGAGGCUUGCUUGCUAGGCAAGAUGACCAAGACACCUUUCACAGGAUUUCCUGAGAGAGCAGUAGACUUGUUGGAACUCGUACAUAGUGAUGUAUGCGGACCAAUGAGCACGACGGCUAGAGGAGGAUUUCAAUACUUCAUAACUUUCACUGAUGAUUUUAGUAGAUAUGGAUAUGUCUACUUGAUGAGGCACAAGUCUGAAACCUUUGAAAAGUUCAAGGAAUUUCAGAAUGAAGUUGAAAAUCAGCGUGGCAAGAAAAUUAAGGCCUUACGAUCUAAUCGUGGAGGCGAGUAUUUGAGCCACGAGUUUAGAAAUCAUCUAAAGAGUUGCGGAAUUGUUCCACAACUUACGCCGCCUGGAACACCUCAGAGAAACGGUGUGUCCGAGCAACGUAAUCGAACUUUGUUAGACAUGGUUCGAUCAAUGAUGAGCCAGUCGGACCUACCGUUGUCAUUUUGGAGAUACGCUCUAGAAACAGCAGCUUUCACACUUAAUAGGGUACCAUCUAAAUCCCUAGUUAAGACACCAUAUGAGAUAUGGACUAGAAAGGUUCCUAGUUUGUCUUUUCUAAAGAUUUGGGGAUGUGAAGUGUUUGUCAAGCGACUUCAGUCGGACAAGAUCACACCCAAGUCGGAUAAGUGCAUUUUCGUGGGAUAUCCAAAGGAAACUUUGGGAUAUUAUUUCUACAACCGAUCAGAAGGCAAAGUGUUUGUCGCUCGGAACGGGGUUUUCCUAGAGAAAGAGUUUCUCAAAGGAGAAAAGAGUGGAAAGACAGUGCAUCUUGAAGAAGUUCAAGAUGAGCCGAUCGGGCAAGAAUCAAUGAGUGAUGCUAAUGUAGCAGAACAAGUUGAGAUACCCAUCGCAAGAGAAGCACCGCCACAACCACGAAGGUCAGCAAGGCUCCGCGAAAUGCGGGAAAUAUUAUUGUUGGACAAUGAUGAGCCUGCGACCUAUGAAGAAGCAAUGAUGGACCCAGACUCCGAAAAAUGGCAGAGUGCCAUGCAAUCCGAAAGAGAGUCCAUGGGAGACAAUCAAGUUUGGAACUUGGUUGACCCGCCUGAUGGUGUUAAAGCCAUAGAGUGCAAGUGGAUCUAUAAGAAGAAAAAGGACAUGGAUGGAAAUGUUCACAUCUAUAAAGCACGACUUGUCGCAAAAGGUUUUCGACAAGUUCAAAGAGUUGACUACGAUGAGACCUUCUCGCCCGUAGUGAUGCUUAAGUCCAUUCGGAUUAUUCUAGCUAUAGCUGCAUAUUUCGACUAUGAGAUAUGGCAGAUGGAUGUCAAGACAGCUUUCCUAAAUGGAAACCUAGCUGAGGAUGUGUAUAUGAUACAGCCCGAGGGUUUUGUCGAUCCGAAAAAUGCUGGAAAGGUAUGCAAGCUUCAGAGAUCCAUUUAUGGAUUGAAUAAGAAUUUAGGAGUUGGAACAUUCGUUUUGAUGAAGUGGUCAAAGGGUUUGACUUCACCAAGAACGAAGAAGAGUCUUGUGUUUACAAGAAGGUUAGUGGGAGCUCUGUAGUAUUUCUAAUCUUAUAUGUGGAUGACAUAUUACUGAUUGGAAAUAACAUUCCUAUGCUUGAGUCCGUAAAGACUUCACUAAAAAAUAGUUUUUCGAUGAAGGACUUAGGGGAAGCGGCAUAUAUUCUGGGCAUUAAGAUCUAUAGAGAUAGAUCGAGAAGGCUUAUAGGUUUAAGCCAAGAUACUUACAUUGACAAAGUGUUGAAGCGGUUCAGCAUGGAAGAGGCAAAGAAAGGGUUCUUGCCUAUGUCACAUGGCAUACAUCUCAGCAAGACUCAGUGUCCUUCGACUGCUGAUGAGCGGGAUCGCAUGAGUAGAGUGCCAUAUGCCUCGGCUUUUGGAUCUAUCAUGUAUGCAAUGAUAAGUACUCGCCCAGAUGUUUCAUAUGCGCUAAGUAUGACAAGCAGACACCAAUCUGAUUCAGGUGAGAGUCACUGGACAACGGUGAAAAAUAUUCUUAAGUACUUGAGAAGGACUAAAGAUAUGUUCCUCGUCUAUGGAGGUGAGGAGGAGCUCGUUGUAACAGGUUACACCGAUGCUAGUUUCCAAACCGACAGAGAUGAUUCAAAGUCACAAUCAGGAUUGUGUUCACGCUAAAUGGUGGUGCUGUUAGUUGGAAGAGUUCCAAGCAGGAGACGGUGGCCGAUUCUACGACAGAAGCCGAGUACAUCGCGGCUUCGGAAGCCGCGAAGGAAGGUGUUUGGAUAAGGAAUUUCCUCAUUGAGCUUGGUGUGUUCCCGAAUGCGUCCAGCCCAUUGAAUCUCUACUGUGAUAAUAAUGGGGCAAUUGCGCAAGCAAAGGAGCCAAGGAACUACCAGAAGAACAAACACGUAAUGCGGCAAUUUCAUCUCAUUCGAGACUUCGUUAACCGGGGUGAGAUCAAGAUAUGCAAAAUACACACGGAUCUGAACAUUUCUGAUCCGUUGACAAAACCUCUCCCGCAGGCUAAGCAUGAUGCGCAUGUAAGAGCUAUGGGUAUUAGGUACCUUCUAGAUUGACUCUAGUGCAAGUGGGAGACUGUUGGAGGUAUGCCCUAGAGGCAAUCAUAGAGAUGAUGAUAUUCCAUUUGUAUCCAUGAUCUGUAUAUUGAGUUCAUUGAAUAUCCAUUAAAGGCUACUUGAAUUGAUUUGCAAUUAUGUGAAUUGUAUGUGAAACUCUUUACUUGUAUGGUUAUUCUAAAGUUGUCCCUAGUCGGAGUUCAUGUGAGGACACACAUGAAUAUUAGACUAGCACAUGUAUUAGUUGAUGACUAUGUUUCACAAGUCAUGGACAUGGAGAUGUUGAACUAAUAAUGUGGACACAAGUGGAGACAUGUGCUAGGACUGACCCAACACGAGAAGUAGUUCUCUCUUUAAACAACAUAUACGCCUUGUCCUUAGACCUGAGAUUGUCGCAUGUAUUCUAGAUGUGGAUCGACCUACUUAGGGGCUAUCAAACGCUACGCCGUAACAGGGUAGUUAUAAAGGUAGCUUUCGGGUUUGUCAAGAACCAUGCUAUGAGACACACUACCGACUAUUGGGCCGAGUAGGAGUACUCGGGCCAUGUCUAUACGUAUCCGAACCCAUAGGGUCACACACUUAAGGGGCUGGAAGCCCAAUUCGGAUCUGAUCUGAGUUGGAUUAGGUUUAGAAGUACUAAUGGGCCUCGGACCCAGAGGCCCGUUAGGAACCUCUAUAAAUAGAGGGGUGGGGGCGCCCUAGGGUUUACACCUUUUUUGGCGAAACUCAUCUGCCGCGCCUCCCACGCCCUCGCCUGUUGCAACUCACGGAUCUAGCAGUCCGGCUUGCGACGCUUCCUCCCUGCACGUGUAGAUACCUUGGAGGUGUUGCGCCUGCAGCACUUGGACGAGCCGCCGACGAGCCACGACGAGCCGCUGACGAGCCACGACGAGCCGACGACGAGCCGCGGCACGAGGGCGAUCGUGCUGCACGUGGACGAGCUGCUGAGGAGCUGCUGGACGUUGACGUGAUCGACUACGUACGACUACGUGAUCGUCUUCACUGCAUCGACGCAUAUCUACAUCUUCCGCACCAGUAGUGCGUCGAGUGGUAAUCCCGUGAUCCUUAUACGGCAGUUCUUCCUGGUUUUACUUGGUAGAAAUUUUGAUUUGCGCUAGUGUAGCCUACCUCGUAUCCCAACACGGAAAUCCUACGAAUGCGACUACUCAAUCUCCUAGUCCCAUGCAGCAAGUCUUCACAGCUUCAAAGAAGCUCCAUCCAACCGAACUAGAGAUCCCGGAAAAUAAGUCGGGGUACACAAAGGUGAAACCCGCUAGUGAGCAAGACUUCAAAUCAGUCGACCUCCAGACCGGUGAUCCUUCCAAGACAGCCCUGAUCAGAACAGGGCUAGAUCCUAAAUAGGAAUUCACGCUCGUCAGUUUCCUUCGGGCUAACCAAGAUAUCUUCGCUUGGAAGCCGGCUGACAUGCCAGGUGUGCCCAAGGAACUAAUCGAGCAUUCUCUCAACGUCGAUUUCAAAGCUACUCCAAAAUGGCAACGACUGCGCCGGUUCGCUCAGGAUAGACGAGAAGCAAUCAAAAAAGAGUUAGCCAAGCUACUCGCGGCAGGGUUCAUCAAAGAAGUCUUUCAUCCUGACUGGCUCGCCAAUCCCGUGCUUGUUCGUAAGAAAAACAAUGAAUGGAGAAUGUGUGUUGACUACACCGACCUCAACAAACACUGCCCGAAAGAUCCUUUCAGGCUACCCAGGAUCGAUCAAGUGGUUGACUCCACCGCUGGGUGCGCUUUGCUAUGCUUUCUCGACUGCUACUCCGGCUAUCACCAAAUAAGCCUCAAAGAAGAAGAUCAAGCCAAAACAGCGUUCAUUACGCCCUUCGGAGCUUUCUGCUACAAAACAAUGUCCUUCGGACUAAAAAAUGCAGGAGCAACUUAUCAAAGGGCUAUACAGAUGUGCUUCGAAAGGCAACUUCACCGCAAUAUCGAAGCUUAUGUCGACGACAUCAUCGUCAAAACAAAAAACCGGGAGGAACUCAUUGCUGACUUGGAGGAAACUUUCUCUAGUCUCCGCGCUUUCCGAUGGAAACUCAAUCCUACUAAGUGCGUCUUUGGAGUACCUUCCGGUAAACUACUCGGGUUCAUUAUUAUCCAUCGCGGCAUUGAGGCCAACCCGGAAAAAAUAUCUGCCAUCACAAACAUGCAGGCACCAGCCAACAUUAAGGAUGUGCAGAAACUCACAGGCUGUAUGGCCGCUCUCAACCGGUUCAUCUCGAGACUUGGAGAACGGGGACUACCCUCCUUCAAGCUUCUCAAACGCCAGGACAAGUUCAAAUGGACGGAAGAGGAAGAUGAGGCAUUAACACAACUCAAAGACUUUUUGUCAAAGCCUCCUGUACUCACCGCUCCCUCUCCAAACGAAGACUUGCUCCUAUACAUCUCCGCUACUACUCAUGUCGUCAGCACGGCAAUAGUAGUCGAACGGUCUGAACCGGGCCACGCUUACAAGGUCCAACGACCUGUCUACUUCGUCAGCGAAGUACUCUUGGACUCUAAAACUCGGUAUUCACCGAAACAAAAGCUCUUAUACGCUAUUCUGCUCACCUCCCGGAAGCUGCGCCAUUACUUCCAAGAGCACAACAUCACAGUCAUCUCCGAUUUCCCGCUCGGUGAAAUUCUCCAUAACAGAGAUGCCACGGGUAGAAUCUCCAAAUGGGCACUUGAACUCGGAGCUCUCACUUUGAACUUCAAGCCAAGGACAGCCAUCAAGUCUCAGGCUUUGGUCGACUUCAUAGCUGAGUGGACUGAAAAUCAAGUUCUAAUACCAGUCGAACGACCAGAACAUUGGGUAAUGUACUUGAAGGAGCCGGCGCAGGCGUCUUACUCAUCUCUCCCAAGGGAGACCAACUCAAGUACGUGCUGCAAAUACUCUGGGAAGCAUCUAAUAACGAAGCCGAGUACGAAGCACUCCUACACGGCCUUCGCCUCGCAAUCUCCCUCGGCAUCAAACGCCUACAGGUGUACGGCGACUCUCUAGUCGUCAUAAACUAGGUCAAUGACGAGUGGGACCGGAAUAAGGACAACAUGGAUGCUUAUUGCAAAGAAGUCCGUAAACUAGAAAACAAAUUCUCAGGCUUGGAGUUUCAUCACAUCGUCCGCGACAACAACGUUGCCGCCGACGUUUUAUCCAAAAUGGGCUCAACUCGCGCAGAGGUUCCAGCAGGAAUUUUCGUACAUGAACUACGCAAGCCGUCCAUACCUGAACAAGUCACACCACCAGUAGUCUCGGCUACUGAUGUCUCUCGAGAAGUCAUGAUGAUAGAAGUCGACUGGAGGACACCCUUCAUCGACUACAUCAAAGAUCACCAGUUACCAUCCGACAAGAAUAAAGCUGAGCAAAUCUCCCAGCGAGUAAAGAAUUACAUUCUAGUCGGAGUCAAGCUCUACAGGAAAGGUGCAUCAUCUGGAGUACUCAUGAAGUGCGUCACCAGAGAAGAUGGCCAAGAAAUCCUAGAAGAGAUUCACAGAGGAAUCUGCGGCAACCACGCCUCUUCGAGGACACUAGUUGGCAAGGCUUUCAGAGCAGGCUUCUACUGGCCAAUGGCUCUAGCCGACACCAAACAAGUAGUUCAGAAAUGCAAAGGUUGUCAAUUCUUCACAAAACAGCAACAUGUACCGGCCUACAAGCUAGUCACAAUACCUCCAACAUGGCCAUUUGCCUGCUGGGGGCUCGACAUGAUAGGUCUGUUACCAACUGCGCCAGGAGGAUUCAACAGAGUACUCGUGGCAAUAGACAAGUUCACCAAAUGGAUCGAGGUCAAACCAGUCACUUGCCCCAAGGCAAACCGGGUCCUCGACUUCUUGGACGAAAUCAUACACCGCUACGGUUUUCCUAACAGGAUUAUCACAGACCUAGGGUCAAACUUCAAUAAUCACGACUUUUGGGACUAUUGCGAGAACAGCGGCAUCGAUGUCCGCUAUGUCUCGGUUGCUCACCCGUGAGCCAACGGACAAGUCGAGCAUGCUAAUGGCAUGAUACUCGAUGCUCUGAAGAAACGACUACAUGACGUUGGCAACACCAAAGGUGGCAGAUGGCUCAAAGAGUUACCCAAUGCCUUGUGGGGCCUACGCACCCAACCGUGCAAGACUACGGGGCUAUCACCCUACUUUCUGGUAUAUGGCUCGGAAGCCAUACUACCCGCUGACAUCAUGUGGCAAUCCCCAUCCGUUGAACAAUACGACGAAGAACUUGCAACAGAAACACGGCGAAUAGAUAUAGACAGUCUAGAAGAAACAAGAUGCGCAGCACUAGUGCAAUCUGCCAGAUACCUUGACGGUUUAAGGCGUUACCACGACCGCAACGUCAAGGAAAGAUCUUUCAACUCGGGCGUUAUGGUCCUUAAGUGUAUCCAAGACACGUCAGGAUUGCAUAAACUCAAUUCACCGUGGGAAGGUCCUUACAUCGUAUCAAAGGUUACAGGGCCCGGAUCUUACAGACUCCAAGAGCUCUUAGGAGAACAAGUGCCAAACUCCUAGAAUAUAGAACAUCUCUGUCGCUAUUACCCAUAGCAGCACCCGAGUAGUCGCUUCAAGGCAAUAACUCAUGACAACUACUCGGGCCAACAGCCCGACUACCGACUUCAAGAUAUCUCAGCUUCGACAAAGAGCUUCCAGCUCAACAAAGAUCAUUGCCCUAGUACAAAAUCUCCAUAUCAAUAUUUCCUUACUGAAACAAGAGUACAUCAGGUUACAUACGAGUACAAGUACAUGGAAUAUACGAAGACUACAAGCAACUGCCUAUUGGCGGGCCGCAUUUAAGCCUCAGGCUUUUACUAUAUCACUCAGGUCUGCACAAAAGGAAGGGCCCACACGCAAGGAAGCUGCGCAAAAUGCAGCCAUGCCCACGUACCCUACCCAAGGCAAUGCCAGGAACUCCAGCAUCGCCACUGCCUUGAUAGUAGCAACGACAAAUCCGGCACGACACGCCUACAGGGAACCAAGGCUGCUCUUUUGCUAGCCUCGCGGAGCCCAUCUACUCUACGGCCGCACCUCCACCUCUCUCAGAGCGGGAUAAAGACCGCGGCACUCAUCACCCAUCACUCGCGAGUUCCAGCGCGUACCCCACUGGAUCACGAGCUGCAAGAUGAGGCGUGCAACGAAACCUCCUACGAGGAUUCUUCUAGCAUCGCGGCUAUCCCUACGAGCGCAGGAGUCUGUGGAGGGAAGGUGGCCUCAAUCUAUGAGGAAUCUUCUAGCACCGGUGCACUCUUUGAUGGCUCUCUACACUCAAACAGAAGCAACUGAAGGCAAUCCAUCGCUACUCAGGAACUUGAGUUGGUUCGCUCACAAGAUGGCCCUAUUUAUAGCCGAAAGUCACAACUACCACCUGCCCAAGAGUUACUAUGCACCCGUGAUCAAUGAGUCUGACGACUCCUGACUCUGCCCACGUGACAGCACUUAUGCCACAACGGACAAAAGAGUGCAGUACACCCAUGCAUCCACAAAGGACAAAGGAGUACAGUACACUCGUGUCCCUCAAAACGAUGAGUACUCAACAGUAUUACGACUACUCGACACUCGGGACUACUACAAGCCAAGCAUGGCCUACAUCUCGGGGGCUUCGACUACUCCGACCCCAAGACCCAGGGUCAGGCGAGGCGGAAUUUUCACCCUCGAAGAGGUCAGGCUAAGCCGACCCCAAGACUCAAGGUCGGGCGAGACGAAGCUUCUCCCCUAGAGGGUCAGGCCUAGCCGACUUCAGCACUUUGGGUUGGACAAAAUGGAGUAAAACUACUCUUCGCAAGACAACAAACUUCAAAUAACAAAUCCAAAGGCUUGAUAUUCAAAAGUAUCAAAGUACUCGACACAAAUACAAAAGUACAUACAAAAGCUCAAAGCUCUUCUAAGGAGACAAAUUCCGACAUAUUGGAUGCAAUAGGCUCCGCCUCCUCAAGGUACUGCGCAUAUGCUUCCUCUGUGCAGUUGUGAGCCACGCCAUCACCAGCUGCCGCCAAGUCUGCCCUCGGGUAGUAGGACUUCACAACUACAAGAACCUGUUUGCAAACAGUCUUGCAAAGUCCCGCCACUUUACUCGGGGUAGCUCUUAGUCGCUCGACUAGCGAUUGUGAGCCUGCGCCUUCCUCCACGGGGGCUAUGGCGUUCACCAAGUCUUCGGCUGCUCCAGACAGCUCUUGGAGUUCGCCUUGAAGUCUUCCCAGGGUCUGGGCAUGGUCUCUGCAUGCCACCAUGGCCAUGGCAAGCAUCACGCCAUUUUGCAUCUUUCGGUCCCGCUGAUGCUCGCAAGCAGCCUGUGCUUCCGUCAACGCAACCCGAAGAUGUUUGGCUUCAUCUGCCACUCGGUCAUGAGCGUUUCUCUAGUCGAUGACUUGGCUCCUUGCAGCCGCUUCCUGCUUCUUGAGCUCUACAAAGCAAAGAACUUAGGCCACAGCCAACUACAGUUGGACACACCCAGAGUAGUCAAAAUGCUUACCUUGAUACUUCCUGUUCAAGGACUUGUAGCGGCUCUCCAGUUUUUCCUGCAGAACCGCGUGAUCCGCGCGUUCCAUGGCAAAGGACUUCACCUCGACUUCAUGAACCCGCAGAGCUUCUGUCAGUCGGGCACAUUCCUGCUCCAGCUGAUGGCUUCUUUCCUGAAAAAAAUCCAAGUAUGGUGUGGUGAGUUUCAAGCCUCACAACUACUCGGGACAUGCAACAAACUCAACAAGGAAAUCUACCUGGAAGCCCCGAAAAACAUCGAUGGCUCUCUGGAACUCCAAGUCAGAAGGCAGGCUAAGUACUGGCCUUUGGGUACUCUCCACAAGAUGAGGAAUCGUACCCAGAGUAGCACCUACAACAUUUAUCAUAUCAGCUACCGGCUACGACUACAAUAAAAAGACUACAGAGACAUACCUGGAGUAGUCGCUUGUUUGGCUUUUUCAAAAUCCACUACGGCCAGCGAUCCGCCAGAUGAUAAUAUAGUGCCUCCUGAGCCCGAUGCAGCAGUAGGAACCUCCACCGAGCGAAUUACGUCUUGAAGCAUCAACAUAGUAGCUCCAAGACGACCGGCGCCAACCUCGGGUACCUCUUCAACAGUCAAGUCCUCCAAAGGAACAGAUAUUGUAGUCGAGGGAUCUGGCACUACCCCUGUCUCUACAGGGAUAGUCUCCUCUGCAUCUCUGCACCAAAAAGUGUCACUACAUGACUUCAAGACAACCCAACAUCAUUCAAACAGACAAGAAAGCUCACCGGUUGAACGUGGCGGUAGUCGCACACGCUUCUUCUCGGUGACAGGCGGCCGAGUACUAGGAGCCGCGGGAAUAGCCACCGGCGUUGUCUUCUCGCCAAGGCCUACAAAACCGAAGUCAAGACUACAAUACUACUCAAACGAAUACAAUCGGAAGGGACAACGCUUACCACUGGCGAUCACAUUGGAUAGCAAAGUACCAGUAGCAAGUACUGGCGACACCUCCUUUGCAACGCCCGCUACUCCAGCAGGUAGCCCCAAGACCGCUUGGUCAGCAAUGGGCGGCAUGGCAGCCGAUGGAGUAGGCGCGGGUAGCUCGAGGGCUACUCCAGUUUCUGUUGAUGGCGCCUCCGGCACCAUGUCAACAGACACAUUACCGACUUCUAGGUCGGUCACGGCCAUUUCUUCAGAAACAGCCUCAUCUUCACCAAGUGCCGUAUCUACAGCCUUCACAAACAAAAACAAAAUUCGCCACAUCAAUAACGAGUUCAAAUCCAUCAGUAACAGACAAGUUCACGACUACAUACCUUGGUACCCCGAGACUUCUCAGGGGUUGAAGCAGACUUAGCCGCAGACAUCUUGCGGACUACUCUGCAUCUCUUAACAGGAGGAGAAGGCUCGUCCUCCGACUCCUCGACAACGGCUUCCGACUCUUCUUCCGACUGCGCCAAGUAGCCGGCAAGAACUUGAGACUACAAACAACAAGUCGAUAUCAGCAACAAGUAUCACAUAAGUCAAAAGAGAACAAGUCAGGAGCAAAAGACAUACCACUUCUGGCUCGUACCAGGCAUCAUACUGACGAAGGGCUGCAAGGAUUACUGGUACUCCCUGAUAGUUCCUAAAAAACUUAACCAGCAGCGCCUCUACGUCAUCAUCGGAUAUGUCCUCAUCGGACAUACGCGAUCGAUCCUUCAGACCUACGUACUCACUUCCCGAGUGAGCACGUUGUUGAAGUGGCUGGACCCUUCUCUUCAGGAAGCUAGCCGCCACGUUGAUCCCAGUCAAACCAAGUGCCUUCAACUCGGUGAUUUGCUGCAUCAGGUGAUCGAGCUCAGGGGUGUCCUCGGGAUCGCUCACCCAGUUUUCCGCAUGCUUGGGCGCGUGAUCAAUCACCACAGGCAAGCGAGGUUCAUGGUUCCCGAUGUAGAACCACCUUUUCUUCCACUCCCCGUGGGAGUCGGUCAGGUUAUACUCAAUAUACGCGCCCGAGUUCCUGAGUUGGAACCCAGCGCCUCCAAAGACUUCCAUCCGUUGGGCACUCGGCUGAGGCUUACAACGGAAUAGCUUCCUAAACAACUCGAGGCUGGGAGGAACUCCUAGGUAAACUUCGCAAAGGUGUACGAAAAUAGACAUGUGCAGUACACCAUUGGGAUUCAAAUGGACGAGUUGAAGUUUAUAAUACUCAAGAAUACCUCUGAAGAAGUCGGAGGUGGGCACCGCCAACCCCCUUUCCACAAAAUGCAUGAGCAUCACUGUCUCGCCUGGAUGCUCCUCAAACUACCACGCAUUGGGAAACGUGGGGCGCCACUCAAGAAUCUCCUUCGGCUGAAGGAGCUUUGCAUCAACUAGCGCUUGGACCGCUUCCUCCUUCAUCACCGAGUGUUGCCAGGUUGCCCCAGGCGGCGGCGGUGCAGUUUGGUUUGUCGGCCCCACCUUCGGCGCCGGCAGCACCAGCUCCUUCCCUUUCUUGGAUUUCACCUUGCCCGUCGCCGGAACCUUGCCCUGAAUCUUCUCGGGUUUCUUGCCCAUCUUCUUGGUGUGCAUUCGACGGACUCAACCUCAAGUUAGAAGGAGCUCACACUCAGAUCUUUCUCAAAAAGCGGCAAUAGCGGCGGCGGUGGCGCUGGCGGCGGUGAAACGCAGAGCGGAGGUGCAUAGGAGGAAGAAAAAGAGAUCCUAUUGCCGUACGGCGUAACAACAACUGAAAGGGGGCCUUCCAGUUUUAUCUCCGCCAGCCCCGGUUUCCACGCGUCGGUUGCGCAACAGACAGAUUAAUUGCGUAUUAAUCGCCUUAAACAUCCAACGGCUACUCUAUUCAACGGACUGCUGACCACUUCAACGACAAAGAUCGCCUAAGUGCUCGGGAGCUGCGGGUACCGUACCUGUUGAUCAGUUUUUUCUUUUCCCAAGAUCUCCAAGGGGAUGAAAACAACUCGAAGGAGCAAAAAGAGUACCUUCCAGCCACGUGACAGCACUUGAGCACUUCAGUCUGCAACUUCUACGACUAGCUACUCGGAUAGCGCCCGUAGUGCCCAAGACUGUGGCGCACGACUACAAAGUACUCGGGGGCUUGUCGGGCCUAGACCCCAGGUCCACGAGUAGGCCUUGGACGGCCCAUCAAGGGACGUACUCGGACAAGAUCAGAACAAGGAUGGGCGUAUCCUACUCGGACUAGCCAAGUAUGUUUAUGGAAGACUACUCGGGCUGUUACCGAGUAGAACUCUGUAAUAGUACCCGACUAGGACUCAGACUUGUAACCCUGCCCUCCUGUGCAUAUAAGGGCGGGCAGGGACCCCCCUCAAAAUAGAGACAUCAUAUCAUCAUACAUCAAUACAAACCAACACACAGGACGUAGGGUAUUACGCGAUCUAGUGGCCCGAACCUGUCUAAAUCGUGUUCCUUGCGCACCAUUGAUUCCUUGAUUCUCAUCGACCCUUACCGCAUAAAAGACCACCUAGGGUACCCUCUAGGCGGGUUGCCAGUCUAAAACACCGACAGCUGCCGAUCGGUUCAGCAAUUUAAUGUUUACCUUGUCAAUUUUCAUGUCAAAUUGACUAUCACGCCUUGCACCACUAGCGAGGCAAUUUGGAGCCUGCACUGGAGUUAAGGAGAUCUCCCAAGUCCUCCGUGUUGUUCAACGUAGAAGCCUAAAGUCCAGAUUUUGCAUCAACACACUCUUGGCACGCCUAGUGGUACUAACAAUCAACAAACAUCAUUAGUGCUCGUCGUUGCCUCAACUUCGAUUAGAUGGCUGGCGAACCUGGUGAAAAUCAAGGUGAUCCUAUGGCUUCUAAGGAGUUUACUGCUGCUCAGAUUACCCUGGAUAAGCUUGAUGAACAACAAAGGAAAGAAUUCGAAGAUGCCAGGGAUCUAUUCGUGGUAGCAUGUUUGCAAUCAUUCAGUUUGAACCGCAACAAGGCUCACAAGAAACAUCCUUCAUCAGUACCUAUAAUGCCAGGACAAGUGCUGCCAUCUAGGGAUAAGGACCUGGUGGAUAGGGAAGAUGACCUCGAGCUUGAGUCCAAAAUUACUUCUAUGGUCAGCAAUGCUCUAAUCAAUCCAACUAGUGUAUUGGCGAAUGAGAUUCAGAAAAUGAUUUAAUAGGUUGCGAAUCAUUACGUCAGCAAGUAUUCUUACAAAAGGUAUGUUCCUAAUACGUCCGGCUACGGAGGUGGUGCACCAAGUUCAUCUUCCAGAUAGCCGAUGGGGCAGCCUGCAGUCGGCCUAACAGUUGGCCAACCGAUUCAUAAAAAGACGGGGCCGAUUCCUAUCCAGACUACAAAUCAAAACUCAACACCACCAAGGCAGCCAGAUUUUACAUCUAAAGGUAAUAGGGUGUUUGAUACUCGCCAGCCUCAAGCUAUGGAUGGAUUCAUGCUAGUUUCUCUACAUUCACUGUACAGGAAUGGGCAGAACAAUGAAGAUUUGGCUGCAAAGAUUGCUGAGGUGAUGGGGAGUCAAUUUGGGUUGAAGCCUAAGGAGCAGUCUUAUAUAUAUAUAUAUAUAUAUAUAUAUAUAUAUAUAUAGGAUUAUACUAUACAAUACCCUAGGUACGGAAUAAUAUUCCGUACCCGAACUCACCCGCGGAUCCGGCUCCCACCUCCCCUCCCGCCGAUUUUUCCUCUCCCGCAUCCCCCAGUUUUUUUCCGACUUUUUUUUUCCCGAACGUGGGUCUUCCCAUCGUGGGUGGUCAGUUCCUGUCCGUCCAGUUCUCAUGCUAGCGGACGCUGCCGCUCGCCAUUCGCUGCAGUCGCCGCUCGCCAACCCCUAUGAGCUCCAGCGCCAGCUCAUCGCCGCCGCCUCCGCCGCCAACUCCGCGUCCGGCGUCCAGUCGCCUCCGCCUCUCCCCAUCCGCAGCCGCCGCCGCCGCUCGCCAUCCGCAGCUGCCGCCGCCGCCGCUCGCCCGCAGCUGCCGCCGCCGCCCCUCUCCUCCUCCACAUCGACGCCGCGCCGCCCCUCGCGUCGACCCCGCACCUCCUCUCUCCUCCGCGUCGACCCCGCGCCGCCCCUCUCCUCCGCAUCGAUGCCGCGCCGGAUGCCGCAAUAGCCGUCCAGGCUCUAAGGUAGAAUCUGACCGGUUCCUUGUGCUUUCCUAUUGUUAUCAGACUGUACUUCAGCUCCUGUUCAUUUGUUUGGUCUUUGCGUGAGAUGGAUCCAGCAACUGAUGCCUUCUUGGUAUUUUUUCUUUGUGGAUUACUAAUUCAAGUUUGCAGUAAAGAGUGGAUUGGGAAUUGUAGAAUCCACAGUUUGAUGGCUGAGGGAUGCUGGUUCCUCAGAUAAGAACUAGAUGUUUAUUUGUUGGUUGAGGGAUUCCUGUUCAGAUAACUAGAGCUUUAUUAAUUUCCCCUUUUCUCUUAUAAACAAAUUGAUGAGUUUUAUUUGUGAAUAUGUCUAGAUGAGUUCCUGUUCAAAAUUCAGAUAUGCAACUUGUUUUCAUUCAGUGAUGUAAAUGUUCAGAUGUGCAUGCUUCCUACUGGCUGAUAUGCAUUCAUUUCAUCCAAGAGAUGCUGAUCUGAUUUUGCCAAUCCAAAUUUGCUGCUAGGUGCAGGCUUGGUUUGAUCACCUGAUAUGAGUUAAUAUAUUUGGAUCAAUAUACUUUGUUAAUCAUUCCAGAUGUUUUUGAAGCUUUGCACUUGAAAACAUUGUGGUUCAUGAGCUUGCCUGAUCAAUAUGCCUUUUUUUUAAUCUGAAAUGAUUAUGGUAUGCCCGAUUGGCAUUUUUUUUUAGCCCCCGUGUUCAGCGAGGUUCACCAUGGAUCUGCUCUGACCUGCUGAACUCGUUCAGACAUUGAGCCUAGUUCUGAGAGCAAUUUUCAUGCCCAGCUUACAGGCAAGAUCCAUGUGCUAAUGCAGUCUCAUAGUUAUCUGGAUGCAUUGACUUGAAUUUGGACUACAUGAUUUCUCUGAUCUCAGUUUAUCUCGCUGAGACACCAGGAGCUGCUGCGCCUGCAAAUUGGUUGUUGCCUAGAUCAUUCUAGUCAUCAAUUAAAAAAAAUCUAGUCAUGGUUUCUAAUUGUAGUAUGCUCAUGUUUUAUGCCAUUCUAGUAUCUAUCCAAAUAAAAAUUCUUUGAGUUGGCAUAUUAUCCAUGUUGCUUAUUCCACAAUGUAGAUCAGUCCUUUUCGACAAGGUUUAUUUGUUGGGUAAGAGAUACCUAUUCAGAUAACUAGAGAUUUGUUUCCAUCUUUUCUCUUAUAAAUGAUUUGAUGACUUUUACACUUUUAUUUGUGAAUAUGACUAGAUGAGUUCCAAUUAAAAAUUCAGAUGAGCGAUUUGGUUUUGGUUCAGUGAUGUAAAUUUUCAGAUGUGCAUGCUUCUUACUGCCUGAUAUACAUUCAUCUGAGAGAUGCUGAUAUGAUUUGCCAAUCCGAAUUUGGUGCUAGGUGCAGGUUUUGGUUUGAUCCCUUGAUAUGAGUUAAUAAAUUCAGAUCAGUAUAAUUUGUUAAUCAUUCCAGAUGUUCUGAAGCUUUGGACUUAAAAACAUUGCGGUUCAUGAACUAGUUUGCCUUAUCAAUAUGCUUCUUUCUAUCCGAAAUGCUUAUGGUAUGCCUGAUUGGCUUCUUUUUUUUAGUCCCUGACGUUGUGGGUUGCUGUCUCUACAGGGAUGAUGGGAUGGCUCCUGCUGCCAAGGCCCAUGCUUCAUGACAAGCUGGAGAUGACGAGGAGAAGGCCAAUAGUGUUACGUGAAUUACCCAACCCCUGAGGGUACCGACCCAAACAUAGCCAUUUGGAGCAUCCUUUGUGCAGGUGUUGAGCACCAGGACCAUCUUGCUAAACUUCCAUGUGCUGAGAUUAGGUUCCUGCCUUCAUCUUUGAUUUGGUUAUAUUACCCAUUUUCACCGCUCUAUUCUUCAACUCCGUUCAUUUUAUUUUAGCUCUUGCAUGAGAUGGGUCCUGCAAACGUCUUUCUUAUUGAUAUUAACAGUAGCAAGGUAUCCUAAGAGAACUUUUCAGAGCUAGUGUUGUCGGUUCUUACUGCCUGAUAUUUAUUGACCAUGGGAGAAUCUGAUCAGGUUUGCCAGUCCAAAUCUUGUGCUAGGUGCGGACUGUCGUCCUGCGUGUGGAAAAUCAACGUUAUCUUCUGACUUUAUUCUGAUCUUAUUCUUUUUGGCAGACUGCAACUUCCGGUGUAAUAUAGUGGUGCAGAAAUUCAUUUCUCAUCCAAUUUGCAAUUUCAAUUUUGUUCUUACUAUUUAAUUUCCAUCUUCUCCUACAUGCAAUCAGAGACCGAUCGACAUGCAGUACCUGAUUUCCAUUUGUUCAUUAGUAGCAUGGUGGAUGUACUCAUGGUGGGUUCAGGUUUCUCGAGCUCAGGUUGCUUUGUUGCUUUGUUUGGGACUACUCUUAAUAAUAAGUCAAUCUAUACAGUUUCUGCUGAACAAGUAGAUGUUGUGUUUCGUUAACCACAGUUAGGUGCAACUGUUCUGGGUCUUCUUAGCUUUAGCAAAAAUAUUUGGGUUUUUAUUUGUCUCAGAAGCGAUUAUUGAUUGUGGUUAAAGGAUUCACUCACUUCAAUUGGAAUGUAGCAAAGUUUCUGCACCUAUAUUUCAUUAUUUACAAUUACACAGAAGCUUUUCUAUCCACAUGUGACAUUGUUAUACGCAACCUUUUGUUAUCGUGUUCUAUUGCAGGCUCGGGCGGCAGUGAGUACAAUGAGGUCACAAGCAAACUUCAGGAACGAAUACACUAACAGAGAUUGUGACAAGCUCACUAUGGUCUGCUUCUGAUUAAGACACCAGGAAUUAGUAGUGCAAUGCAUAAAAAAGUUGUACUAUGGUUUAGAUGCCCACAUGUUUCAAUAUGUUGUUUUCACGAUCCGAUUUCAGUCUGUUUGUGUGCAAGUAAGUUACAAGCAAUGUGGCUACGAGGCAGAUGACAUUGGUCACAGAGAGGACAGAGAACAAAGAUUCAUUAACCAAUUAGUAUUCUUGGGACACCUGACUGCUCAGUCUUUUUUAAUUCCGUCUCAUGAAAUUGAGACACUGGUCGCCAAUUUGUAUGGCUAGAUUUAUCACGAAUGUAAAGAUCACUCAGUCGUUGAAUAUUUACUGUACUAGCUCACAUUUCAAUUAAUAAAAAAAGAUAAGUUGGACCUUAAAGACCCUUUGAUAUGAUGAACAAACAUUUUAAUUAAGGAAACAUGACAAUUUCGAUGGUUCAAUCUAAACAUUGGUCCGUUUGAUCAUACAAACUGAAUUCUUGAACCAACAAUUAUACAAUUUUAAAUACUUUUUUAACCAAUGAAUGUUCUAUGGAGCAAAUUUUGCAAAUUUUUUUUUAAAUUCUGUUAUGUAGUGUCUGCAAACAAAAAGCAAUGAAUGUUCUAUGGAGCAAAUUUUGUAAUUUUUACAAUUCUAUUUUAUAGAAUUUCCAAAUAAUCAGAAGGCUUGCCAUUUAGUGCGUCCUUUUCCAAUACGUGUUUUUUCUCGAAAUAGUUUGUAGAUCAAGAAAAAAAGAUCCGUACUUCUAGGUGUAAGGAUAUUUGGACCUUAACUAAUUGCAACCCUUCUGUGAUCUAGCUGUCUUCAACGAAUGAACAUGCAGAAACCUGCAAACACUUGGGCAAACUGAGCUGGGCAGUGGGCCAGGGGCGGCUGUUUUUUUCUUUGUGAGGAAACUGGCCAAUACAAAAACUGCAGAGUGCAGACAGAUGUGGUUCAGCGCGUGGAGAAAAACGGGAAAACGGACCGCACAGACGCACAGUACGUCGGGUGGGGCGAUGCGUGGAAAAAAAACCCGGACCCUAUGGGUUGCGGGAGCUUUUUGCUAAGUUUUCUAGAGAAGACAACAUGUCUACAAGGGAACAUGUUAGCCGAUUCUUGGUUCAAUGUGGAGAAGGAGCUUCAAUGGAUGCACUCAAGGUGUGUAUGUUCCCGUUGUCAUUGAUAGGACCUGCCUUCACGUGGUUUUCUACGUUGACACCCAACUCCAUCAACAGUUGGGAAGAUUUGGAAAGAUUAUUUCACAAGCACUACUGUGUAGAGGCCUAAGAGAUGAAGCUAACAAAUCUUAUAAUGAUGAAGCAAAAGAACGGGGAGUCAGUGGCUACAUUUGUCCAAAGGUUCAGAGAAGUGCGAAAUAAGUGUUACAACAUAUACUUAACUGAUGGACAAUUGGUAGAAUUGGCUUACCAAGGACACUUGGAGCCCAUUAAGGAAAAGAUUGCUCCUCAAGACUUUGAGAGUUUGGCACAUAUGGUGCACAAGGUUUUGGUUCAUGAAAGCCGAUUCUAGCACACACGUAGGGGCAAGUAUGUCCUAUUUUCGUGCCCUUGCUGCAAUGGUAGUGUAACGACAUACUCCUACCGGUCGGUUUCCGCCAUCGGAGUUAAGUGAUACACGUAAAUCCAGUUGCAGUGAGCGAAGAUCAAUAUGAUUGGUCGAAUCAAAAUCCAGGGUCAUACGCUAGGCGCAUUAGAUGUGCAAUAGUAGAUGAGAUCUACUGCCGGGGUCGGGAUUUUUGCCGUAUGCGUAUGCUUCGGUAAAUCAGCCGUAACUUUUCGGUACGAUCUCGGAUCGGGGCGAAUUUUAUAUGAAAAUUGAUCUACAGAAAAAGUUACACAUGAAAUUCAACGGCUUUGCCGUUUUUGGCGAAAUUAGAUUUCCCAAAUUUGGCUUGGAAGAUGGAGUUUCGGGCAUCUGAAGUUUGGAACGUUAGGACGCCUAACUCUGUUUUGCAGGAUGUAUGUAUGUAUCUUGUGAUCAGUAUGGCCCCCUUGUGUAUAUGAUGCAUGUGUGUAACUCAUUCGUGACCUGCGUGUCGCGCGUACGGCAACACGGCAGGAGCCAUAUGUGUUGUCACUUUAUUGUAUUUAAUGGUCUGCGUACCAAUUUGUGAUGAUCCAAGCAACUAUGUAAUCUUCAUUACUAGAUUCUUUACUAGCUAUUAGGCGUAAUAGCAUGUUCUAGUUCUUGGAGGACUCAUCACCAGGAGGAUGGCGCACAUGGAACAUGGAGAUGGAGAUCCCCAUGGUGAACAGGUUCUAUGGAGAUGGAGAUCACCAUAUGAAAACGGGCCAUACUGUGUCACAACUGUGUGAAUGCUAUUCUGUUUAUGUUUUACUUUUUGCAUGCUGUGAUGUUAGAAGUAGAACGAUCCCUCACAAAGUUUAAGUUAGUAUGCCCUCCCAACUAAAACUUGCACCGUCCCAUGUCUUGUACAAUUAGUGGGGGGUCUAUGAAAUUAGGGUACCACUAGUUUUCCUUGACUAGACGAGUUUGUGUCGGACACUUACACGCAUAAGGGUUGGUUUGCUUAACAAGGUCAUCUUAACGGUUAAGGACCUUGGGGCAUAAAGGUUGGGUGCCGAGACAUAGAGAUGUCACCCAACAACAGGAGUCAUAUGUGAUAUGAUUAGCAAAAGUUGCUUACCGAUCUACCUUGUUUGCUAGCGGUGAUGCUUAAGCUCACUAGUGAACUUGUUAGUUGUGCAUCCUGAAUCACUAAGUUUCAAUAGAGGGAUAUUGAUUUUAGUGGGAGUAGAUUCUGUUAAAAUAGUUUAAUGUGAUUUGCUCUAUCAUGGAUACGUUUGUCUUAGUGUAUUUUUCAUAACUUUGUUGUAGAUUAAAUGGCACCUAGCAGCACUACACCGUUUGCUUUGCGUUCGGUCCUUGAGAAGGACAAGUUGAAUAGAACAAAUUACUCGGAUUGGAUCCGUAACCUGAGAAUUGUUCUCAGGGCUAAGAAAAAGGAAGAUGUUCUAGAUAACCCACUACCAGAAGAACCUGCUGAUGAUGCACCCGCUGCUGCUAAGAAUGCUUACAAGAAAACAUGUGAUGCUAACCUCGAAGUAAGGUGCCUUAUGCUUGCUUGCAUGGAACCCGAGCUGCAGAUGCAGUUCGAAACAAACCAUGAGGCGCACGAUAUGAUCGUGGCGCUUAGAGACAUGUUCCAAACACAGGCCAGGACUGAAAGGUUCAAUGUGUCUAAGGCCUUUGUUGAGAGCAAGCUAGCAGAAGGCGCAGCAGUAGGACCACACGUAAUCAAGAUGGUUGGUUACACUCAACGGUUGGAGAAGCUGGGCUUCCCACUGGGCCAAGAGUUGGCCACUGAUUUUAUUCUUUCGUCUCUUCCGCCUAGCUAUGGGAACUUCAUCUCGAACUACCAUAUGCAUGGGAUGGAGAAGGGUCUCAAUGAGCUGUGUGGCAUGCUUAAAACAGCAGAGGCUGACAUCAAGAAAAGCACUAGUACCAGCCAUGUGAUGGCUAUACAGAACAAGCCUAGCUUUAAGAAGAAGGGCAAUUCUUGGAAGAAGAAGGGCAAGGCUGGAACAUCCAAGCCAAACCCAACGCCCAAGGUUAAAGCUGGACCUGGACCUGCUCCAGACAAAGAGUGCUUUUACUGUCAUGAACUUGGUCACUGGAAGAGAAACUACAAGCAGUACCUAGCUUCCUUGAAGAACGGCGGAAGUAAGAGUACUUCUACCUCAGGUACGCUUGUUGUUAAUGUUAUAGACAACAUUUUUAUCGCUGAUACAAUUAUUAAUUCUUGGGUAUUUGAUACCGGAUCGGUUGCUCAUAUUUGCAAUUCGAUGCAGGGAAUGAUAAGAAGUAGAAGCAUGGAAAGAGGAGAAGUUGAUUUCCGCGUGGGCAAUAAUGCAAGAGUUGCUGCGUUGACCGUCGGGACGAUGCAACUCCACCUCCCGUCAGAAUUUAUUAUGGAGUUGAAUAAUUGUUAUUUCGUUCCUAGAUUAAGUCGAAACAUUUUGUCUCCUUCAUGCUUGAUGAAGGAUGGUUAUUCAUUUGCGAGUGAAAACAACGGUUGUCUGAUGUCUAAGAAUAAUAUGUUUAUGGCUUUUUCACCCAUUGUGAAUGGAUUAUUUGUUUUAAAUCUUGAUGGUUCACCUGUCUGUAAUGUAAGUGCUAAAAGGCCUCGGCCUAAUGAUUUGAGUCCUACCUACUUGUGGUAUUGUCGUUUGGGUCAUAUAAGUGAAAAGCGCAUGAAGAAGCUCCAUUCUGAUGGACUUCUAACUUCGUUUGAUUUUGAAUCAUACGAGACAUGUGAGGCCUGCUUGCUACGCAAGAUGACCAAGACGCCUUUCACAGGAUUUCCUGAGAGAGCAGUAGACUUGUUGGAACUCGUACAUAGUGAUGUAUGCGGACCAAUGAGCACGACGGCUAGAGGAGGAUUCCAAUACUUCAUAACUUUCACUGAUGAUUUUAGUAGAAAUGGCUAUGUCUACUUGAUGAGGCACAAGUCUGAAACCUUUGAAAAGUUCAAGGAAUUUCAGAAUGAAGUUGAAAAUCAGCGUGGCAAGAAAAUCAAGGCCUUACGAUCUGAUCGUGGAGGCGAGUAUUUGAGCCACGUGUUUAGCAAUCAUCUAAAGAGUUGCGGAAUUGUUCCACAACUUACGCCGCCUGGAACACCUCAGAGAAACGGUGUGUCCGAGCGACGUAAUCGAACUUUGUUAGACAUGGUUCGAUCAAUGAUGAGCCAGUCGGACCUACCGUUGUCAUUUUGGGGAUACGCUCUAGAAACAGCAGCUUUCACACUUAAUAGGGUACCAUCUAAAUCCCUAGUUAAGACACCAUAUGAGAUAUGGACUAGAAAGGUUCCUAGUUUGUCUUUUCUAAAGAUUUGGGGAUGUGAAGUGUUUGUCAAGCGACUUCAGUCGGACAAGAUCACACCCAAGUCGGAUAAGUGCAUUUUCGUGGGAUAUCCAAAGGAAACUUUGGGAUAUUAUUUCGACAACCGAUCAGAAGGCAAAGUGUUUGUCGCUCGGAACGGGGUUUUCCUAGAGAAAGAGUUUCUCAAAGGAGAAAAGAGUGGAAAGACAGUGCAUCUUGAAGAAGUUCAAGAUGAGCCGAUCGGGCAAGAAUCAAUGAGUGAUGCUAAUGUAGCAGAACAAGUUGAGAUACCCAUCGCAAGAGAAGCACCGCCACAACCACGAAGGUCAGCAAGGCUCCGCGAAAUGCGGGAAAUAUUAUUGUUGGACAAUGAUGAGCCUGCGACCUAUGCAGAAGCAAUGAUGGACCCAGACUCCGAAAAAUGGCAGAGUGCCAUGCAAUCCGAAAGAGAGUCCAUGGGAGACAAUCAAGUUUGGAACUUGGUUGACCCGCCUGAUGGUGUUAAAGCCAUAGAGUGCAAGUGGAUCUAUAAGAAGAAAAAGGACAUGGAUGGAAAUGUUCACAUCUAUAAAGCACAACUUGUCGCAAAAGGUUUUCGACAAGUUCAAAGAGUUGACUACGAUGAGACCUUCUCGCCCGUAGUGAUGCUUAAGUCCAUUUGGAUUAUUCUAGCUAUAGCUGCAUAUUUCGACUAUGAGAUAUGGCAGAUGGAUGUCAAGACAGCUUUCCUAAAUGGAAACCUAGCUGAGGAUGUGUAUAUGAUACAGCCCGAGGGUUUUGUCGAUCCGAAAAAUGCUGGAAAGGUAUGCAAGCUUCAGAGAUCCAUUUAUGGAUUGAAUAAGAAUUUAGGAGUUGGAACAUUCGUUUUGAUGAAGUGGUCAAAGGGUUUGACUUCACCAAGAACGAAGAAGAGUCUUGUGUUUACAAGAAGGUUAGUGGGAGCUCUGUAGUAUUUCUAAUCUUAUAUGUGGAUGACAUAUUACUGAUUGGAAAUAACAUUCCUAUGCUUGAGUCCGUAAAGACUUCACUAAAAAAUAGUUUUUCGAUGAAGGACUUAGGGGAAGCGGCAUAUAUUCUGGGCAUUAAGAUCUAUAGAGAUAGAUCGAGAAGGCUUAUAGGUUUAAGCCAAGAUACUUACAUUGACAAAGUGUUGAAGCGGUUCAGCAUGGAAGAGGCAAAGAAAGGGUUCUUGCCUAUGUCACAUGGCAUACAUCUCAGCAAGACUCAGUGUCCUUCGACUGCUGAUGAGCGGGAUCGCAUCAGUAGAGUGCCAUAUGCCUCGGCUAUUGGAUCUAUCAUGUAUGCAAUGAUAAGUACUCGCCCAGAUGUUUCAUAUGCGCUAAGUAUGACAAGCAGACACCAAUCUGAUCCAGGUGAGAGUCACUGGAUAGCGGUGAAAAACAUUCUUAAGUACUUGAGAAGGACUAAAGAUAUGUUCCUCGUCUAUGGAGGUGAGGAGGAACUCGUUGUAACAGGUUACACCGAUACUAGUUUCCAAACCGACAGAGAUGAUUCAAAGUUACAAUUAGGAUUUGUGUUCACGCUAAAUGGUGGUGCUGUUAGUUGGAAGAGUUCCAAGCAGGAGACGGUGGCCGAUUCUACGACAGAAGCCGAGUACAUCGCGGCUUCGGAAACCGUGAAGGAAGAUGUUUGGAUAAGGAAUUUCCUCAUUGAGCUUGGUGUGUUCCCGAAUGCGUCCAGCCCAUUGAAUCUCUACUGUGAUAACAAUGGGGAAAUUGCGCAAGCAAAGGAGCCAAGGAACCACCAGAAGAACAAACACGUAAUGCGGCGAUUUCAUCUCAUUCGAGACUUCGUUAACCGGGGUGAGAUCAAGAUAUGCAAAAUACACACGGAUCUGAACAUUUCUGAUCCGUUGACAAAACCACUCCCGCAGGCUAAGCAUGAUGCGCAUGUAAGAGCUAUGGGUAUUAGGUACCUUCUAGAUUGACUCUAGUGCAAGUGGGAGACUGUUGGAGGUAUGCCCUAGAGGCAAUCAUAGAGAUGAUGAUAUUCCAUUUGUAUCCAUGAUUUGUAUAUUGUGUUCAUUGAAUAUCCAUUGAAGGCUACUUGAAUUGAUUUGCAAUUAUGUGAAUUGUAUGUGAAACUCUUUACUUGUAUGGUUAUUCUAAAGUUGUCCCUAGUCGGAGUUCAUGUGAGGACACACAUGAAUAUUAGACUUGCACAUGUAUUAGUUAAUGACUAUGUUUCACAAGUCAUGGACAUGGAGAUGUUGAACUAAUAAUGUGGACACAUGUGGAGACAUGUGCUAGGACUGACCCAACACGAGAAGUAGUUCUCUCUUUAAACAACAUAUACGCUUUGUCCUUAGACCUGAGAUUGUCGCAUGUAUUCUAGAUGUGGAUUGACCUAAUUAGGGGCUAUCAAACGCUACGCCGUAAUAGGGUAGUUAUAAAGGUAGCUUUCGGGUUUGUCAAGAAGCAUGCUAUGAGACAUGGUCAAUCAAGAUGGGAUUUGCCCCUCUCUGAUUGAGAGUGAUAUCUCUGGACCCCUCGAGUGAUCGGAUCCGAAAAUGCAUGGCCAUGCUACGUACGGUUAAGAGUUAACCUACAAAGGGAUUCCGAAUCACAUGAUCGAGAAAGAGCGGUCGGCUUGAAGCUAGACUAAAUAUCAUGAGGCAAAGGGAAUAGCAUGUAUAUUAUGUUGUGAUGGUUCGUUUGAUAUGAUCUUCGUGUGCGUAUAGGAGUUGGCACGUCUUGCUAGAGGCCGCUACCGACUAUUGGGCCGAGUAGGAGUACUCGAGCCAUGUCUAUACGUAUCCGAACCCAUAGGGUCACACACUUAAGGGGCUGGAAGCCCAAUCCGGAUCUGAUCCGAGUUGGAUUAGGUUUAGAAGUACUAAUGGGCCUCGGACCCAGAGGCCCGUUAGGAACCUCUAUAAAUAGAGGGGUGGGGGCGCCCUAGGGUUUACACCUUUUGGCGAAAUACAUCUGCCGCGCCUCCCACGCCCUCGCCUGUUGCAACUCACGGAUCUAGCAGUCCGGCUUGCAACGCUUCCUCCCUGCACGUGUGGAUACCUUGGAGGUGUUGCGCCUGCAGCACUCGGACGAGCCGCCGACGAGCCACGACGAGCCACGGCACUGGGGGCGAUCUUGCUGCACGUGAAUGAGCUGUUGAGGAGCUGCUGGACGUUGACGUGAUUGACUACGUACGACUACGUUGAUCGACUACGUACGACUACGUGAUCGUCUUCACUGCAUCGACGCAUAUCUACAUCUUCCGCACCAGUAGUGCGUCGAGUGGUAAUCCCGUGAUCCAUAUACGGCAGUUCUUCCUGGUUUUAUGCGGUAGAAAUUUUGAUUUGCACUAGUGUACCCUACCUCGUAUCCCAACAACCUCCCACGCUCAUCAUCUCACUCGGAUCCCCGACCGCGCACCCCGAUGCCUUCUGGCUUUUCCGUCACCCCCUCAGUCGCGCUGCCCACGCGUGCGCCCCGCGAUGAUACCGCCCUCGCCAACCACGGCGCCUGCAGUGACAAAUCCUUUUCCCGCCCCGCCAGUAACGUGCCUCGGCAAAGCUGUUGGUCUGCGCUUGCUAGCGUCGCCUCUCGCCCUAUCACCUUGCUUGCAGCAUCCUCGCCUGACGUGCCCCUUUCCUUCCUUCCUUG